rnacentral:rRNA from 1 species
ACAAGCGGCGGAGCAUGUGGAUUAAUUCGAUGCAACGCGAAGAACCUUACCUAGGCUUGACAUAUACAGGACGACGGCAGAGAUGUCGUUUCCCUUGUGGCUUGUAUACAGGUGGUGCAUGGUUGUCGUCAGCUCGUGUCGUGAGAUGUUGGGUUAAGUCCCGCAACGAGCGCAACCCCUGUCUCAUGUUGCCAGCACGUAAUGGUGGGGACUCGUGAGAGACUGCCGGGGUCAACUCGGAGGAAGGUGGGAUGACGUCAAAUCAUCAUGCCCCUUAUGUCUAGGGCUUCACACAUGCUACAAUGGCUAGUACAGAGGGCUGCGAUACCGCGAGGUGGAGCGAAUCCCUUAAAGCUGGUCUCAGUUCGGAUUGGGGUCUGCAACUCGACCCCAUGAAGUCGGAGUCGCUAGUAAUCGCAGAUCAGCAACGCUGCGGUGAAUACGUUCCCGGGCCUU